GUAAUGGCUAUGAAGGGGAAAAGUAGCCAAUACUUCCUUAAGGGAGAGAGUGUCGUGACUGAAAGCACUCUUAGGAAAAAGGUUGGUGAAAGGACACCUUGGAGCUGGCAGAUUGAAAGUUUGCAUGCGAUUAGGUCUGUCCGCAGAUUCUUGCGUUAAAGAAUUAAUAAGUGGGCAAUUUUACUGCCUAUUAGGGUGGCACCGCGGGAAAACAGCCUCUCGUCCCUGAC
rnacentral:ncRNA from 1 species